AGACGGCCUGCCCCUGAGCUCAGAAAUGCUGAACCAACAAGAAGCAAGGACAUCGCGACAACGAAAAGCACUGCGGAAACAAACUUCCCUCAAUUGAAAUGGUUUCCUUUUGAGGAAAUCAUUAAAUAUUGACUUCCGAGCCGAAGACCAUGCCACGCAAGCAUUUCAUCUUCUGGGCCACAAAAUGAGGGCUUCAGAGUGAUGUGACCCCCCCCCCCCCCUUUUUUUUUUUUUUUUUUUAACAGUGUGGGUGAGUUCUGAUGUACUGGCUUUUGUGCUGUUGGUCGAGGUGUCAUUCCAACAGGAGGACGAAAGACAUAGGUGUGCUCAAGUUGUUACAAAUAUAAUUUGUUGUACCCAAUUAUACGAGGGACGUGCCAAAGGUUUUCAGCCUCACCUUGAAAUCAAAUACAUACCUCUAUGCUCAUAGCUAGAUAGGCCAACUCUUUGCGUGUCUAAAAAAGUGCUUCUCAAUCAAAAGAAGAAUUGCAUGCAGUAAUUACAGGUAAAUACAUGCGUUUGGGAGAAGAAAAAAAAGUCGAAACAAAAGACAAUAGUGUCAACAGAGGGCAAAGAGCCUUCAUCCAGGAGAGUCAAUGCAUCAAAUGUUGUAGAAUAGUAUUGGUCUCUUGUCUUGUUUUCUACAGUUUCUACCCUUGUACUAACCAAUAAAGUUUAACACUGU